rnacentral:rRNA from 1 species
UUCCGGUUGAUCCCGCCGGAGGUCACUGCUAUUGGGAUUCGACUAAGCCAUGCGAGUCGAGAGGGUUCGGCCCUCGGCUGACGGCUCAGUAACACGUGGACAAUCUGCCCUUAGGUGGAGGAUAACCUCGGGAAACUGAGAAUAAUACUCCAUAGGUCUAGGAUGCUGGAAUGCAUCUAGACUGAAAACUCCGGUGCCUAAGGAUGAGUCUGCGGACUAUCAGGUUGUAGUCAGGGUAAAGACCUGACUAGCCUACGACGGAUAUGGGUUGUGAGAGCAAUAACCCAGAGAUGAUAUCUGAGACACGAUAUCAGGCCCUACGGGGCGCAGCAGGCGCGAAAACUUCACACUGUGCGAAAGCACGAUGAGGGAAUCCCAAGUGCCAGCUCGUAAGAGUUGGCUGUUUUUCUGUCUAAAACACAGAGAGAGUAAGAGCUGGGUAAGACGGGUGCCAGCCGCCGCGGUAAUACCUGCAGCUCGAGUGGUGACCGUUAUUAUUGGGCCUAAAACGUCCGUAGCCGGUUUAGUAAAUGCCUGGGUAAAUCGUGUAGCUUAACUAUACGAAUUCCGGGUAGACUGCUAAACUUGAGACCGGGAGAGGCUAGAGGUACUCCUGGGGUAGAGGUGAAAUUCUGUAAUCCUGGGGGGACCACCAGUGGCGAAGGCGUCUAGCUAGAACGGAUCUGACGGUGAGGGACGAAGCCCUGGGGCGCAAACCGGAUUAGAUACCCGGGUAGUCCAGGGUGUAAACGCUGCUUGCUUGAUGUUAGUCGGGCUCCGAGCCCGAUUAGUGUCGGAGAGAAGUUGUUAAGCAAGCUGCCUGGGAAGUACGGUCGCAAGACUGAAACUUAAAGGAAUUGGCGGGGGAGCACAGCAACGGGUGGAGCGUGCGGUUUAAUUGGAUUCAACGCCGGGAAUCACUAGUGCGGCCGCCUGCAGGUCGACCAUAU